UCAGUAAGCUCUAUUUCUUUUUUAAUAAAAGGAACUUAUCUGAUCUCAGAAACUAAGCAGAGUUGGGCCUGGUUAGUGCUUGGAUGGGAGACCUCUUGGAAUACUGAGUGCUGUAGGAA
ensembl:rRNA 5S_rRNA 5S ribosomal RNA